UACGUAGGGUCCGAGCGUUGUCCGGAAUUACUGGGCGUAAAGAGCUCGUAGGUGGUUUGUCGCGUUGUUCGUGAAAACUCACAGCUCAACUGUGGGCGUGCGGGCGAUACUGGCAGACUAGAGUACUGCAGGGGAGACUGGAAUUCCUGGUGUAGCGGUGGAAUGCGCAGAUAUCAGGAGGAACACCGGUGGCGAAGGCGGCAUCCUGGACCGGUAUUGACGCUGAGGCGCGAAAGCUAGGGGAGCAAACGGG
rnacentral:rRNA from 1 species